ACGAACGCUGGCGGCGUGCUUAACACAUGCAAGUCGAACGGAAAGGCCCCUUUGGGGGUACUCGAGUGGCGACCGGGUGAGUAACACGUGAGUAACCUGCCCUUGACUUCGGGAUAACUUCAGGAAACUGGGGCUAAUACCGGAUAGGAAUCCUUGCUGCAUGGUGGGGGUUGGAAAGCUUCGGCGGUUUUGGAUGGACUCGCGGCUUAUCAGCUUGUUGGUGGGGUAGUGGCUUACCAAGGCUUUGACGGGUAGCCGGCCUGAGAGGGCGACCGGCCACAUUGGGACUGAGAUACGGCCCAGACUCCUACGGGAGGCAGCAGUGGGGAAUAUUGCACAAUGGGCGGAAGCCUGAUGCAGCAACGCCGCGGGCGGGAUGACGGCCUUCGGGUUGUAAACCGCUUUCAGCAGGGGCGAAGCUUGUGGUGACGGUACCUGCAGAAGAAGCACCGGCUAACUACGUG
rnacentral:rRNA from 1 species